CCCCGACACCGCAAAGACUCAGCCGCCGCCAUGGACGCCGAAACAAACCUGAGAUGUGUUUAUCUCUUUUGAACUCUCUAUAGAUCUUGUGCUAAAUUUCUUCCUUGCAAAGUCCUUCUCCACCAAACGCCCUUAGAUCCACAACAGCAGAACAAUCCAAAAAAAUGGAUGAGCCGUCAUAUCAUUCUAGAAUGACAGAUCUGUCUAGAAGAAGAUCAAAACUCGAGAAGAUAUAAACCUGGAGAAGAACCUGCUUCAUGAAUUUGCAAGGAUCAGCACGUAAUGGCAGAACCAAUAACAAGGAACCAUCAAAUAGAGGAAGAAGAUGAACAAGAAGAUGAAGACGAAGCAAAUGAGUAUAAUUCUGAAUGCAACAGUGAAGAUAAAAGUCAUCCAAACCAAGAUUACCUGGAUUGCAGUAGUGGUGAGAAUGAAAGUGAUGCAGAGGAAGAUUGCCUGGACCAAAAUACAGUAACUUGUGAUCAGUUGUGUGCAGAUCAUGAUUAUUCAGAGUUGCAACAAAUAGAGCAGAGUUGGCACAACUCUGUUUCAGAUGUUGUCCUAGAAAUGCUGAUAAGACAUACAAGAUGAGAUAAGACAAAAAUAUGAGACUUGAUUGUGGUGCUGACUUGCCACUGUCAGACGAA